UACGGAGGGUGCAAUCGUUAUCCGGAAUCACUGGGUUUAAAGGGUGCGUAGGCGGCUUAGUAAGUCAGGAGUGAAAGCCUGCGGCUUAACCGUAGAAAUGCUUUUGAUACUGCUGAGCUUGAAUUAGGUUGAGGUUGGCGGAAUGUGACAUGUAGCGGUGAAAUGCAUAGAUAUGUCAUAGAACACCAAUUGCGAAGGCAGCUGACUAGACCUGAAUUGACGCUGAGGCACGAAAGCGUGGGGAGAGAACAGG
rnacentral:rRNA from 1 species